rnacentral:lncRNA from 1 species
GAAAUCUACCUUUGUGAAAUAUGCCCAGAGCAUUCUCUUGAAGGACACAUCUGCAGAUAAAGCAACUUUAUCAGAGCCUUCUCUCUGCUGAAGAAGGAUAAGAGAAGUGACAUGACUUAUGCUGAUUGUACAGGGAUAUCCAGUUACUAGGAAAAAGAGCCUAGGCUCAACCCAGAUGUUCUGACUCUGUCACAUGCACUAAAUUUUAUCAAAUGACACAAAAUAACAUGACGCAGAAGAGAGGCUAGACGGGUCGAUGGAUUGAAAGGGAAUUAAGCUAUGGUGGUUUACAACUGAUAUGAAGGUUUUAGAAAACAAAAAUCGAAUAACAUCCAUCCUGGAAAAAAGCAGAAUAAUGGUCCCCAAAGAUGCCUACGUCUAACUCCUGGAAGCUGUGAAUAUGUUGUGUUAUAUGGCAAGGAUAAACUAAAGUUGCAGAUGGGAAUUAAAGAUGCCAAUCAGCUGAGCUGGAAAUAAUGAGCGUGCCCUGGAUUCUCCAGGGUCAUCGUCAUCACUUUCAAAGAGAGUCUCAGGAAUAAAGGAAGAUACAAAUCUACCUACUUGAAAAAGUAAGUGCUUUUUUUGAAUUGUUGUGGUUAACUGAUCCACUUUCAAUUCGAGGGAAGGGGCUAGAUCAUUGUCAAGAUACACAUAUUCUUCCAUUGAUAUAGCUGGCCUGUAUACGUAUUUGUCCAUCAUAGGCUUGAACUGAGUAAAUAAAGGCAAUGCCAAUGCUUUUACAAGUCACAGAGUGGGUGAUCAUUUACUAUGGACUCUGAAUGUUAGCACACCUCUGAGGAUAAGUCCCCCAGUAAGCUGACACCGUGUCUGAG